rnacentral:rRNA from 1 species
GACGAACGCUGGCGGCGUGCUUAACACAUGCAAGUCGAACGGAAAGGCCCUGCUUUUGUGGGGUUCUCGAGUGGCGAACGGGUGAGUAACACGUGUGUAACCUGCCCUUGACUUUGGGAUAACUUCAGGAAACUGGGGCUAAUACCGGAUAGGAGCUCCUGCUGCAUGGUGGGGGGUGGAAGGUUUCGGGGGUUGGGGAUGGACUCGCGGCUUAUCCGCUUGUUGGUGGGGUAGUGGCUUACCAAGGCUUUGACGGGUAGCCGGCCUGAGAGGGGCACCGGCCACAUUGGGACUGGGAUACGGCCCAGACUCCUACGGGAGGCAGAAGUGGGGAAUAUUGACCAAUGGGCGGAAGCCUGAUGCAGAAAGGCCGCGUGCGGGAUGACGGCCUUGGGGUUGUAAACCGCUUUCGCCUGUAACGAAGCGUGAGUGACGGUAAUGGGUAAAGAAGCACCGGCUAACUACGUG